CUCCACCUGGUCACUCUGGGAUAGGUGGGCCUCGGGCAGGUCAGCUGUCAGAAAGUCUAAGAAGCACCUGCUGAGAUGCCCAGGAGGGUGGUGAUCCAUCCAGCAGCCCAGGACCUCAAAUCCCAGCUCUGCGGCCCCCAGCUCUGUGACCUCGGUGAGGUGCUCAGCUCUCUGGCACAGGUAGGGCUGUCUGGGGGAGGAAACUGAGAACCCCCAAUGGACAGCAGAUGUGCCAAUAUGAGAGGAAUGGGCAGUGGGCAGCCAGGCCCACCUGGGAGUCAACACGGAACACCCCAAGCAUCAAAGUCCUGCACGAAGCCUCUUCAAAGGGUUUGAAGGCAAACUAGCAAAUGGGAGCGACCCUCACCUGUGAUGGGGAGGACCACAAAGCCCCUGGCCACAGGCUGGCACAUCCAGCAGUCAGCGGCAGUGACCCAGACAGAGACCGGGAAUUCCCCGGGCACGUGGCCGACCACACGGAUGGUGGAGCUGAGACCCUUCUCCAUCUUGCCAGACACAUUGAAAAUCUCUGACACAAAUCAACCUGAUGGACAAGAGACCCCUUUCCUGUAUUUCCAGGAGGAAAUAGGUAAUCUUGUCCAAGUGCAAUUCCCAUAAAAUUCGUCUAAUUCAUCCCUGAGUUGCAGGUUUUCUUUGACCUCAUGGUUUUUCUUUCACAAAUUUUCAUUAGAUCCCUUGCUCUCUCUCUCCACCGCUCUUUUAUGAGGGGGGAGGGGGUGAAAAGUGGUGGAUAGUAUUCAACCUUCUUAGCUGCCCACGUCCCAUCUGUCCCUCGAAUAGUCUUAAAUCUGGGUCCUUUUAUGGUUCCCAAAAUGUGGCAGAGAGGUGGGUGCUGGCUUUCUGGCGGUGGGGAAGUGGGGGCAGUAGACACACAACCCUGCUUCCCCCACUCCCCCACCCACACACACACCCCAGGAACCUGUCAGCUCCGGGUCCAUUUUGGAAAUCACCACCAGAGAGGAAAUGGCAGCCUGGCCUCCUGGGCUCUAAAUUCGCAUCUCCCCAAAGCCAGCACCAACACGGUGGGAAACCCCUCUAGAUGAGGCGACAUUUUAAGGCAAAAACGUUGCCCAUCCCGUGCUCCCUGGGGGACUGGGGAAUUGUGGCGCGAUGACGGACCCUGGCGCAUCCCCGCCUCCCUGCCUCGUCCUCCCCUCCCUUAGCGGGUGCAUGGUCCCCAGGCAUCGACGGAUGCGCCGGCCACCCCCGCGCGGUUUCCAGGGCAGGGCCAGCCUGGG
rnacentral:lncRNA from 1 species